GUUGGCGGCGUGCCUAAUACAUGCAAGUCGAGCGGACCACUUCGGUGGUCAGCGGCGGACGGNUGAGUAACACGUGGGCAACCUGCCUGUAAGACGGGGAUAACACCGGGAAACCGGUGCUAAUACCGGAUAAUCCUUUUCUUCACAUGAAGGAAAGCUGAAAGACGGUUUCGGCUGUCACUUACAGAUGGGCCCGCGGCGCAUUAACUAGUUGGUGAGGUAACGGCUCACCAAGGCGACGAUGCGUANCCGACCUGAGAGGGUGAUCGGCCACACUGGGACUGAGACACGGCCCAGACUCCUACGGGAGGCAGCAGUAGGGAAUCUUCCGCAAUGGACGAAAGUCUGACGGAGCAACGCCGCGUGAGCGAUGAAGGCCUUCGGGUCGUAAAGCUCUGUUGUCAGGGAAGAACAAGUACCGGAGUAACUGCCGGUACCUUGACGGUACCUGACCAGAAAGCCACGGNUAACUACGUGCCAGCAGCCGGGUAAUACGUAGGUGGCAAGCGUUGUCCGGAAUUAUUGGGCGUAAAACGCGCGCAGGCGGUCCUUUAAGUCUGAUGUGAAAGCCCACGGCUAAACCGUGGAGGGUCAUUGGAAACUGGGGGACUUGAGUGCAGAANAAGAAAAGUGGAAUUNCACGUGUAGCGGNGAAAUGCGUAGAGAUGUGNNNGAACACCNGUGGCGAAGGCNACUUUNUGGUCUGNAACUGACGCUUAAGCGCGAAAGCGUGGNGAGCAAACANGAUUAGAUNCCCUGGUACNCCACGCCNUAGACAAUGAGUGCUAACUGUUAGAGGGUUUCCGCCCUUUAANGCUGCNGCUAACGCAUUAAGCACUNCGCCUGGGGAGUACGGGACGCNANGNUGAUAACUCAAAGGAANUUCACUGUGGCCCGGCACAAGCANNGGUGAGCAUGUGGUUUAAUUAAAAGCACCGCGAAGAACCUUACCAAGUCUUGACAUCUCUCUGACAACCCUAGAGAUAGGGCGUUUCCCNUUCGGGGGACAGAAUGACAAGUGGUGCAUGGUUGUCGCCAGCUCGUGUCGUGAGAUGUUUGGGUAAAGUCCCGCAACGAGCCCAACCCUUGACCUUAGUUGCCAGCANUUAAAUUGGGCACUCUAAGGUGACUGCCGGUNACAANCCGGAGGAAGGUGGGGAUUUCGUCAAAUCAUCAUGCCCNUUUAUGUCNUGGGCUACGNCACGUNCUACAAUGGAUGGUACAAAGGNCAGGAAGCCGNGAGGUGAAUCCAAUCCCAUAAAACCAUUCUCAGUUCGGAUUGCAGGCUGCAANUCGCCUGCAUGAAGCCGGAAUCGCUAGUAAUCGCGGAUCAGCAUNCNGCGGUGAAUACGUUNCCGGGCNUUGUACACACCGCCCGUCACNCCACGAGAGUUUGUAACACCCGAAGUCGGUGGGGUAACCGUAAGGAGCCAGCCGCCUAAGGUGGGACAGAUGAUUGGGGUGAAGUCGUAACAAGGUAGCC
rnacentral:rRNA from 1 species